rnacentral:sRNA from 1 species
UGACAGCCGUAGUCAUAUUUUGGGGAUGUCAAAAUUGGCCUCAAAAUACAGAAUAAGUACCAUUUCCCAUUGUUGAAAGUACACUUUGCUUCUUUAUUACAUUUGUUUCUUUAUCUUCUCUAUAGUCUAUUAUAACUGUAUUUCUUUUCAGGCUGGCUAAAGUUCAAGAAAAUACUAUUGCUUCUUUAAGAAAUGCUGCUAGUCAUGGUGCAGCCUUUGUAGAAUUUGAUGUACACCUUUCAAAGGACUUUGUGCCUGUGGUAUAUCAUGAUCUUACCUGUUGUUUGACUAUGAAAAAGAAAUUUGAUGCUGAUCCAGUUGAAUUAUUUGAAAUUCCAG